rnacentral:rRNA from 1 species
GCCAGCAGCUAUAUCACCCUGCAACUCACAACUGGCAGCCCACUGAACCUCAGCAGGUAUGAGCCUGGUCAGUACCUGGAUGGGAGACCUCCUGGGAAAAACUAAGGUUGCUGCUGUAA